UAAACGUCCCAGUUCGGAUUGUAGUCUGCAACCCGACUACAUGAAGCUGGAAUCGCUAGUAAUCGCGGAUCAGAAUGCCGCGGUGAAUACGUUCCCGGGUCUUGUACACACCGCCCGUCACACCAUGGGAGGUCGGAAAUGCCCGAAGCCGGUGACUCAACCUUUAAGGAGAGAGCCGUCGAAGGCAGGUCUGAUAACUGGGGGUGAAGUCGUAACAAGGUAGC
rnacentral:rRNA from 1 species